rnacentral:rRNA from 1 species
UACGGAGGUGGCGAGCGUUGUCCGAAGUUACUGGGCGAAAGCGCGCGUAGGCGGGGGAUUAAGUGAGAAGUGAAAGGCUGGGGCUCAACUCCAUGCAGUGCUUCUCAUACUGGUCUUCUUUGAGGGGGGUAGAGAGAAGUGGGAAUGGCUGGUGUAGCGGUGAAAUGCGUAGAUAUCAGUCGGAACACCGGUGGCGAAGGCGGCUUCUUGGGCCCUACCUGACGCUGAGGCGCGAAAGCCAGGGGAGCGAACGGG